UACGAGAGGCCCAAACGUUAUUCGGAAUUACUGGGCUUAAAGAGUUCGUAGGCGGCGCAGAAAGUAGGGUGUGAAAGCCCUCGGCUUAACCGAGGAAUUGCGCUCUAAACUACUGUGCUUGAGGAACCUAGAGGUGAGCAGAACUGAUGGUGGAGCGGUGAAAUGCGUUGAUAUCAUCAGGAAUACCGGAGGCGAAGGCGGCUCACUGGGGGUUUUCUGGACGCUGAGGAACGAAAGCC
rnacentral:rRNA from 1 species